GGUUGAUGAUCCUCAUGGGGAAGCUUAUAAGAAACAUGUUGCUAGAAUCAAAGAUUACUUAUGGAUUGGUGAAGAUGGAAUGAAGAUGCAAAGUUAUGGUAGUCAAUCAUGGGAUGUUGCUUUUUCCAUUCAAACUGUUCUUGCAACAAAUCUUCACCACGAAUUUUCAGAGACACUUAAAAAAGGACAUGACUUCAUUAAACAAUCACAGGUCAGAGAGAAUCCUUCAAGUGAUUUUCGAAAUAUGUAUCGUUACAUAUCAAAAGGAAGUUGGACAUUCUCUGAUCGAGAUCAUGGAUGGCAAAUUUCUGACUGUACUGCAGAAAACUUACUGUAGGAGAUCCAAUGGAACCACAAUGGUUUUAUGAAGCUGUGAAUAUCAUAUUAUCCCUUCAAGCAAAAAAUGGUGGAGUCUCAGCUUGGGAGCCU